GAUGAACGCUGGCGGCGUGCCUAAUACAUGCAAGUAGAACGCUGAAGGAGGAGCUUGCUCUUCUGGAUGAGUUGCGAACGGGUGAGUAACGCGUAGGUAACCUGCCUGGUAGCGGGGGAUAACUAUUGGAAACGAUAGCUAAUACCGCAUGACAACAGUUAUUGCAUGAUAACUGUUUAAAAGGGGCAACUGCUCCACUACCAGAUGGACCUGCGUUGUAUUAGCUAGUUGGUGAGGUAACGGCUCACCAAGGCGAGGAUACAUAGCCGACCUGAGAGGGGGAUCGGCCACACUGGGACUGAGACACGGCCCAGACUCCUACGGGAGGCAGCAGUAGGGAAUCUUCGGCAAUGGGUGGAAGUCUGACCGAGCAGCGCCGCGUGAGUGAAGAAGGUUGUCGGAUCGUAAAGCUCUGUUGUAAGAGAAGAACGAGUGUGAGAGUGGAAAGUUCACACUGUGACGGUAUCUUAUCAGAAAGGGACGGCUAACUACGUG
rnacentral:rRNA from 1 species